UGUGCAGCCAUACCACCUGCAGUUCAGACUAGGUAAUCCAUCUGAAACCAAGUAGGUUUGGGCCUGACCAGUGCAUGAAUGGGAGACCAAUUAGGAAAGCUGGGUUGCUGCUAGAA
rnacentral:rRNA from 1 species